rnacentral:rRNA from 1 species
ACGAACGCUGGCGGCGUGCUUAACCCCUGCAAGUCGAACGGGUCUGCCCUGUUUUUUGCGGGGUGGGUCAGUGGCGAACGGGUGAGUAACACGUGAGUAACCUGCCCCUCACUUCUGGAUAACCGCUUGAAAGGGUGGCUAAUACGGGGUGUUCUGGCUGUGCCGCAUGGUGUGGCUGGGAAAGAUUCACUUUUGUGGUGUUUUGGUGGGGGAUGGGCUCGCGGCCUAUCAGCUUGUUGGUGGGGUGAUGGCCUGCCAAGGCUUUGACGGGUAGCCGGCCUGAGAGGGUGGGCGGUCACACUGGGACUGAGAUACGGCCCAGACUCCUGCGGGAGGCAGCAGUGGGGGGUAUUGCACAAUGGGCGGAAGCCUGAUGCAGCGACGUCGCGUGAGGGAUGGAGGCCUGCGGGUUGUGAACCUCUUUCGCCGGUGAAGAAGGUCCUGCUCUUUGUGGGGGGGUUGACGGUAGCCGGGUUAUGAAGCGCCGGCUAACUACGUG